GACGGGCCCGCACAAGCAGCGGAGCGUGUGGUUUAAUUCGAUGCUACACGAAGAACCUUACCAGGGUUUGACAUACAAGUAGUAGGGAAGGAAACUGGACCGACCUUCGGGGAGCCUCUACAGGUGUUGCAUGGCUGUCGUCAGCUCGUGUCGUGAGAUGUUCGGUUAAGUCCGCUAACGAGCGCAACCCUCGCUGUGUGUUACAAGUGUCACACGGUACUGCCGGAUAUUAAGUCGGAGGAAGGUGGGGAUGACGUCAAGGUCAGCAUGACCUUUAUAUCCAGGGCUACACACACGCUACAAUGGCCAGUACAAUGGGUUGCCAAGCCGCGAGGCGGAGCCAAUCCUAAAAAGCUGGCCUCAGUUCAGAUUGCAGUCUGCAACUCGACUGCAUGAAGUUGGAGUUGCUAGUAACCGCAGGUCAGCAAUACUGCGGUGAAUACGUUCCCGGGGAUU
rnacentral:rRNA from 1 species